rnacentral:rRNA from 1 species
AUUGAACGCUGGCGGCGUGCUUAACACAUGCAAGUCGAGCGGUAACAGGUGUAGCAAUACAUGCUGACGAGCGGCGAACGGGUGAGUAAUGCUUCGGAAUCUGCCCAGUAGUGGGGAAUAACGUAGGGAAACUUACGCUAAUACCGCAUACGAACUACGGUUGAAAGCAGGGGAUCGCAAGACCUUGCGCUAUUGGAUGAGCCGGGGUCGGAUUAGCUAGUUGGUGAGGUAAAGGCUCACCAAGGCGACGAUCCGUAGCUGGUCUGAGAGGACGACCAGCCACACUGGAACUGAGACACGGUCCAGACUCCUACGGGAGGCAGCAGUGGGGAAUAUUGGACAAUGGGGGAAACCCUGAUCCAGCGACGCCGCGUGUGUGAAGAAGGCCUGCGGGUUGUAAAGCACUUUUAGUGGGGACAAAAAGCCAAAGGCUAAUACCUUUUGGUCUCGAUUUAACCCAAAGAAAAAGCACCGGCUAACUCUGUGCCAGCAGCCGCCGUAA